GUUGCUGCUGCUUCUGAGAUCUGUAGUCGAACGCCCAAAGAGUUUACAUGCUGGAAUGAAUGACCUCCUUGACGCCAGAGUGUUUUCUUCUCUUCCUUUGGCUGAGAUGAUGAAGUGUUUGAGCUGCAGUUGUGGGAGUGGUUUCUCUUCCUUCCUCUGAGAUGUAAGAAGGAAGAAGCAAUCCCACCGACAGAUGCCUUAAUUCUUCUGUGUUCGAAGUCGGGUGGACGAGAAACUGGUUCAAAGAACAUGUUCGACCGACGAUUACUCGUGAAGAGAAGAGCCGUAGCUUUCUUUGGAGAAGUCCACGCACGCGUCAGACAGUAGGACUUGACUCGGUCAGACACGUCUCCCACGACUUCUAUGCUCUUUCCCGCUUUGUUCUCUUUUCAUUUUCUUGUUUCAGGUGGCUGCCGUGUUCUCGCAUUGAAUAGUUUUGGCUGCCGCUAAAGUCUCCACUGCCAUUUCACACACUCCGUCGGUGAUUCCAAGCGGUGGAGUUGAACGCAGAUGCUUCCGCUAGACGUCCGUCAAAGCUGAAAGCAAAACAACAACAUACAUGAAGGAAGCAGUUGAAGCCAGCACGGCCAAACGCAGGACUUUUCCCAUCCUUCUUCCUCUUCAAAGCGAGUGGAAGGCCCUCACACGACCAGUGUAAUCAGCUCAUGUUGAAGAAUGUUGCUCAGAUCACGACCAGUGUCCACAGAUUAUAGCAAUUCAAGAACACAUGUGAUGACUCAACGCAAAUCACCAGUAUUAAAUACUGCAAGAUUUCCUGGUACCUUCCUUUUUCGUCACAUGGUGUAGCACUUUAUCGUCCUGCCGAUGAUCUGUCUUUGACUUUUCAUAAAUGUCAAAAUAUUGGAAACCUGCUUCGGCCAGCACGCGACGGGAACACAUGAUAAAGAAAACAAGGGUACAGAUGGAUGAGAUCAAGUGGACUCCUCCUGUAUCUUAUUGUUCUUCUUCCUUGAGUUGAUAUCAUGAAUGAAUAAUCUGACUGAUUAUGAUGUUCUUGUACUGGAGACAUCACAGACUGCUGACUAUAAUCUGACUUAUUAUGAUGUUCUUGUACCGCAGACAUCACAGACUGCUGACUGCAGCUUCCUUGGCACAUUAUUCUUUAGCUCUUCCUGAUAACCCUUCUUUGCUUCAUCGAAUGCAAGCGAAGCCCCACUUCAUCAGCCCAGAGAGAAGAAAUCAUG
rnacentral:lncRNA from 1 species